rnacentral:lncRNA from 1 species
GAAUAUUUCCAAGACUUACAUACACUGAUUACAUUUACUCAUGUAAGUAUAUAUUUUAAGUCAUGCUAAUGAAGAUUAAAUGUAUAAAGCUAUCUGAAUUUGUCUAAUAGCCAAACUGCUAAAAUGUGCCUAUUUUGAGACGGAUAGACAAUAAUGUAUAUGCUUGUUAAUUAAGACUGUUUUGACGAAUUCUGAAUGUUUUGUUUUUGUUUGAAUCCAUUUUUUUCACAUUUAAACCAUUAAAGCCAUUAAAGGGUAUAGAACUUAAAUAGUGUUAUUCCUAUAAAGGCAUAUUAAUCAAAGUUUUCAUUGUUUACUUGUAAUCAGAAAUGUUCUAUGAAUUUUCAAUUCAGGAUAAAAUUCGAGUUUCACGGCCAAGGCCAUGUGUAAACUUUAUACAAAUCUAUGGCUUCUAUUAAUUAUUUUUUAAGCAUACAAUAGGAAUUAUAAAAAACAGCCAUGAAAAAAUCCCAGAAUGAAACGAGCUAAAACAGUCAGUUUUUUUAUUUGAACUUUUAACGAUUAAGAAUAAUUUGCUUUCAGGAAUUUGCUUAAUUAAAAUAAAAUGGGAUAAGCAUAUAAAGUCAUUUUACAAAAUAAUGCAAAAAAUAAAACCUCUGAAGAAAAUAGAAAGAAAAACAGAAACAGAAAACUGCUGGUGAACGUUUCGUCCCCGAGGGUAUCACCAGCCCAGUAGUCAACACUUCGGUGUUGACAUGAAUAUCAAUAAAGUGGUCAUUUCUAUAAAUUUCCUGUUUACAAAACUUUGAAUUUUUCGAAAAACUAAGGAUUUUCUUAUCCCAGACAUAGAUUACCUUAGUCGUAUUUAGCUCAACCUUUUGGAAUUUUGGAUCCUCAAUGCUCUUCAACUUUGUACUUGUUUGGCUUUAUAAAUAUUUGAUAUGAGCGUCACUGAUGAGUCUUAUGUAGACAAAACGCGCGUCUGGCGUACUAAAUUAUAAUCCUGUUACCUUUGAUAACUAUUAUGAACAAUCAAGUAUUAGCGAUACUGUUUCAAAAACCAUGUUAUAGACAAAGAAAUAUUCAAAAGUAUGCAUACAUGUAAACCAUAUUUGUUUAUUCGUUAUAGAUUACACAAAAGAAGAAUGAAAGUCGCUGUGUGUUUAGUAGUCUUUAUGCUGUUAGUGGCCGUGGGAGGUAAGAUUGCAUUAGAUUUUCUUUUAAAAUGUUGAACUAGUAAAUCUUUUCAUUUUUAAAAGUGACACUUUCCAUUUUUAAAAGUGACACUUUCCAUUUGAGCGAUUCAUCUUUUAUAUUUUUCUUCCGUGUAAAUUAUAUUAUGAAGUAACUUUCAUUAAAGUUGUUUUCAAUGAGUUAUACAUCGUUAUUUUGUUUAUGAAAAAUGCGAAUGUCAUUUUAACAAAUAAUUUUGAUAUUAAUUGAUACAGUUGCAGAAACAUGAUGAAACGUAAAUAUUAAAAAAAACCCACAUAAUUUAAAAAAAUCCCGUAGUGUUAUUUACAAAAUUAUAAAACUUGGAUGAUAUCAAUGAUGGUUGUUUACUACUCCCAUUAUGUAUAGAUAAUUUUUGUAAUUUUAUUUUGAUACAUUUAGAAUUUUAAGAAAGUAAGGUUCCAACUACAACUGUCAAAUUGACCUGCUGUUGAUAUGGUGAUAAAUUAUGUAUCCCGCUUCAUAUGAAUGUGUCUAGUGAAGGUUAAUCCAAAGAACUUUUUGAACGCACUAUUUUAUGUUUACAUUUUACAUUUUAUAAUGUUAGUAGUGAAUUCAGGUAACCGCUGUUCGAAAUCGUUUGAGAGAAAACAAAUCCGGGUUAUCAACUUAAACUGAGAUAAACACAUCAACUAUAAAUGGAAAACAACGAAACAACAGAAACAGUGAAAUGCAACAAAAAAAAACCAAAACGACAAUGCAACUCACAUAGAGAGAAACUAUAAGAUUACAACAGUAACUGUCUAUUUUCCUGAUUUGGUACAGGACAUUUUAAGAAAUAACUAGUGGGUUGAAAUAGGUUUUGCGGCUAGCUUACCUCCCGCUUUUAUGAAUUUUUUUUAUCAUAACAUUAAAAUGAUAACAUUACAUGACAUGACUACAGUACAAAUAAAUACAAGAACAUUACGGACAGAGAAACACACAAAUAAACAAAUGUUUGCACCUGUCCUAAUUCAGGAAUCAGAUGUACAGUAGUUGUCGUUAGUUUAUGUAAUUUAUACGUGUUUCUCGUUUUUUUAUAUAGAUUUUCCUGUUUGAAUGGUUUUACACUAGUAAUUUUGGGGCCCUUUAUAGCUUGUUCGGUGUGAGCCAAGGCUCCGUGUUGAAGGCCGUGCAUUGACCUAUAAUGGUUUAUAUUUAUAAAUUGUUAUUUGAAUGGAGAGUUGUCUCAUACCACAUCUUCCUAUAUCCAUUUACAAUAGGUUAUUUCGACAUGCUAAUAGUUAUCAAAGGUACCAGGAUUAUGAUUGUUAAUACACCAUUCGUGCGUUUAGUUAGUCUACAUAAGACUCACCAAUGAAGCACCUAUCAAAAUAGAAGAAAGGUAAACAAGUACAAAGUUGAAGAGCACUGAUGACCUAAAAUUUCAAACAGGUGUACCAAAUACGGCUAAGGUUAACUAUGUCGGGGAAAAGAAAAUCCUUAGUAUUUAGAAUAAUUUGUACUUUUGAAAACAGUACAUUUAUAUAUAAAAAUGUCUAUAUAAUUGAUGUUCAUGUCAACACCGAACCACAGAAUAAAAACGAACACGUAAAACAACCUAGGGCAGCACAUAACACAACACAACACAAACAUGCAUUUUCACUCGAUGAUAACGCUACAAAAGUGACGUCACAGGUAAAUUUCUACAAAUUUGAUAUAGUUUAACCAUUACCAUGGAAGUAUUAAUUCAAUUCAGUGUAUUACGACAACUACAUAUCCCGGUUGCAUUAUUUUAUAUAAAAAAUACUUUACUUCCAGGGAACAUGGCGAAGGAAGACAUGCUUGAAGAUAAUGGCCUUUUUCACAAGUAAGUUGAAUACCAUGGUUUGAUCUUACUACGUAAUCGAGUAAAGGGUGCAAAGAGUAUGUUAAUGAUUGAACUUAUCGGUUGUAAUACUGUAAAUAGUCGAGUUAAUUUAGCAUAAAUUUGACCCUAACCUUGAAGUAAUUGCAACAUAAGAUUUUAAAGUUUUAAUCUAUAGCAUUAUAUCCCAAAUAUACACAGAAAAAAGUCCCAUAAAAUCUCUAACUUUGGGAAAAUUAAAAAAAAUCAUGAUUUUAAAAUUCCUACGGAGAUUUGCAUUGGUAAGGGAGAUAACUCUGAAAAAAAGGCAGAAAUAUCAAUAAAUAUUGAUACAAAAUUAAAACUGUUCAGCUUCUAUUCAACAGAUUGUAUUGAUUCUUCAUAUGUUAGCCGUUUUUAGAGUAUAACACACAACUCUUAAGGUUUUUUCAUAUCUAUUAUCAAGCUACAGCCUAUAUUUCAUAAAUCAAGUUGACCAUUUGUUAUAUUUUUCAGCAUGUCAAUAUAAAGAAUCUCAAAUUGGAUAAAACUAAUUAAGCAUAUAUUCUUCUUUUUGUGGUUUAGAAUUUUUUUAAACAAGGUAGAUGCUGAACAAAUAUAAUUAACAGAUAUAAACAAUAACAAAUAUUCACAUUAUAUUUUUCAAAAUGGUCUCAAAGCCAUAAGUUUGCAAUUUCUUUGAUGAUAAAUGUGCAAAAAAAAAUUAAGUAAAUACCCAUAACGCUUCGGUUUUGUACAUUUUAUGAGCAGAAAAUUAUAUAAUAUAGUCAAAUACGAACUUAUAACCCCUUCAAUGUGUCAUAUUUUACAUGAAUUUUUCGAAAAUCAAUCAAAAACUGACAAAAAAGUCUCAUCUUUGCGGAGUUAUCUCCCUUUUCAAUGUCAAUUUCCAUAAGAAAUUAAAAAUGCAAAAUUUGAGUUUUCCUCAAGUUAGAUUUAAUGAGAUUUUUUUCUGUGUAUAUUUAGGGCUUAAUGCUAUAGAUUAGAACUAAAACAAAUUCUGUUGCAAUUAGUUUGAGGUACAAACUUAGUUUGACUGGACUGAAAUGUUAUCAGACGGUAUUAAAUAUCAAAGAGAAGUUACAUUUAGACAAAAUCUGCACAUAAAGAUAAAAAUGAUAUACAUAAUGAUUUUCUUCAUCAAUUGAUUGUAGAUUACAAUAUCUUUCUUAACCAUACAAAAGGCAAAAUCAAAUUACAGAUGCAACCAUAGAGUAUAUCUUUGUCUCAUUGUUCAUGAUGUUAAUGGUUUUAUUGUUGUCCAUAUUUAUUUACAUCCACUUCAUCGAACAUUGUCAAUCAUAUUACAUCUUCGUAUUUUUAUAUUGACGUUUUUGUAGGAAUGAACAUGUUGCACAUGCUGCUUGGUCAAAUUCACUAAAAAAUGCAAACAACACGUUUCUAAUUUUAUGCGUCCGAAGCACUUUUCUGAAUUUACCAAGGAACGCUCACAGCAAAAUACUUGAAAACCAAGAACAAACAAGAACCGAAACAGUCGAAGAGCUAUAUAACCAAACAUCAAAAUUUGCUCGAAUUAAAACUUCAAUUUGGAGUAUGUAAAAGACGUGAUGAAAAAGAAACGAAGAAACAAAAUACCAUAAAAACAUGUCUUAGAAAAUGGAAUAUACCACAAUGGUAAAGAACACACAAAAGCAAAACCAAAGGCCCUUAAAAUAGAUAAAUAUAACGAACACCACUUAAAAUUGAGAUUAACUCUAGUGCUUCAGAUGGAGAUUCAAUGUUCAUGAGGCACACAUAGUGAAACAAUUUUGACCAAAGGAAUACUGAAACUCGACAGUCGAUGACAAAAUGACUAUAGCAUGUAUAGCAUGGCUAAAAAGAAACAGAAAUAGACAAAACAAAACAAAUAUGCAAAACAAAACAUAGAAAACUUAAAAACACGAACCCAACAAUAAAAAAGGGGUGAUAUAAAAUGCCCCGAAACGGAUAGCAGAUAUUGAACAACAUGUGACACUCGUGGUAUAAAUCAUAAUAAGUAACAUAUGGAUUUGUUAAUCAUUUGUUAAUCAUGUUAAUGUCACCAACAAAAAAUCAUAAUACAAAACAAGCUCUAAAUCAAUUCGGCAGUCAGUAAUUUUGUUCGUACACGAUUUAUUAAAAAGUUUCUGUAUGUUCUAAAAUAUUUCUUUUGAGAAUAUAGAAAAUAUAGAAACAUUAAGUUUCAAUUUCCCUCAUCCAAGUAGACAAAUUCUGAUACAUUUUUUAUACUUUUUAUUAACAUGUGGACAUAAUUUGCUAUCCGUACUAGCAAAUAAAGCGUUCCUGGAACACAUACUGAAAUAUUCGAUAUAUUAUUUUUACUUAUUGUUUUGUUUCAGGCUUGUAAAAAGACAGGCAUGUUGGGGAAGAACUUGCCGCAGACACAGUCAUUGCUGUAGGGGUUAUUACUGUUAUCGAAGGAGAUGUAGGCGCGACUGAACUCGACUAUAGCGGUCCUAGCAAAACAAACAGAGGCAAAUACAUGUUAUUUGUUCAAAUAAAGGACCAGUUAAAAGGAAUAUCAAUUAAAAUGAGAUUAAAAUUUGCUUUUCUGAAGAACG